CGUUUGUCUAGCAGGUUCAACGAUCUGCUAGGUUGCUGCAUCUGCAACUCUGUGCUGCUGUUCAGGGUUUGCUUUAUUCUUUCUUCCCUACAUGCUUGUUCUUUCUCGCUACACACAUGCUUCUCUUUCUCUAAGUACCGUAAUACUGCUGUGCUGUCUCUAGCUACAUGCAUUUACCUUUCUUUGUCGGUCUAAUUGUCUAUUGAUGGGCCAUGGUUAUGUGAACUUUAAGAUGUAAUAAUAUAUGGUGUUUAAAUUUGUAUUGUUCAUUAGCGCCUAUGAUUUUGCGCUAAAGAGUCGUCCGAUAUCCAAGUUUUUAUAUAUUUUUACACCAUUGCAGUCCAUAACUUGCUUCAAUCCUGUUACACAUUGGAUUGAAGAUAGGUCGUCCAUUUUUAUUGACUUUUUUUGUACAUUGUGAAGUCAUGGCCCCAGUUUAUAUUCAUGUUUAGUUUGCUGUGUAGUUCAUGUAUGCUCUGUAAAGAGCAUGUACAGCUAAUGGGUUUAAUUCGUUUGUUCCUUUUUUAGAUGUUCCGUAUCGGUGCAUAAUUCAACUUGAUCCAUACAGUGCCAGUGAUUUUGUAAGAUUUGCCCAUAUCUUUUGAGGAAAUAAUUAUGCUUCAGGAAGAUGCUAAAUAAGCUGGUCAGCUCUGCCUCUGGGGCAAAAGGUCAGCAAAUCUGCUUGGUUGUUCUUCCCAAGGUGAUGAGUAAUUGCUUGUUGCAGAGUACAUGCCUAGAAAGACAUAUCUUCCACUGUGAGUAUGUUAACUGCUUGUGAGCAGGCCACUGUUAACUGCUUGUGAGCAGGCCACUACUUUACAAAGUUUACUACAGCAGCAAGGACGCUAUGCUUUGAUUAGUUGAGCCGUCCUCUGUUAUUUCGUUCAUGGGCAGAGUGGGUGGAGGUGCAGCGCCUCAGCAUGUCAAGGUAUAGGGAUGGAACCUGAUCCUUAUUUCACAGUAUGUUUCUGUUCUUACGAUAAGUGACUCAUGUUUCUUCUGUUUAAUGCCAGGAUAAAGUUUGAUUUUCUCUGUACUACUCCAACUUGGUCCUAUCUCUAACUACAGAAAUUUUAUGUAUCGUUUUAAUUUAGAUUUAUUAUUAUUAGAAUUAGAUGGUGUGCAUUGAAUAUGAAAAUAGGGCCAAGUACUGCUUUGGCGUAUAUCCUAUUGAGUUUUCAUGGGACCUUGAAGCUCACGGUUGAUCUCUUUGUAGCUUAUAAAAGUUAGUUAUAUCAUUUUACUGGAUGUAUAAUCAGAAAGGUGGGCCAACAAACUGUAAUAUGUGACAUAAAAUAUGAUAAUGCAGGCUUCCUUUAUUUUCUUCCAUGGGCAGAGUGGGUGGAGGUACACAGCCUCAAGAUGUCAAGGAAUCUGAUCCUUAUUUGACAGUGAACUUAGAAGGGUUUUCCAUCUUAUAAUAUGAUAAUGCAGGCUUCCUUACCUUGACCAGAAUUUAGCAUUUUGGUAUUGCCUCCUUACCAUGCAAUGUAGGCUUCAGCACCACUUUUUAAAUAUAAGCCAUCAUUUGUGCUGGUCCUUAUCAAGCAGUUCCUUAUCAAAGGGGAUUUUGAUGUUCUCGCUGAAACAGAGGACUUGAAUUGAUGAUUUCUAGGAUUAGUAAACAUUAGCACAAUCCUGAUUAUCCAGUUGAGAAAUCUUAUAUUUUAAUUGCGAAAAGUAAUGUAGGCUGCAAGAGUUGUCUUUUAAGUAAUGCAAAUUCUUCUGUCAGUAGCUAAUGCUGUUUAGAAAUUUUGAUUUCCCAUUUUUUUGUAGCUCUCUUCAUUUUUGUCACUGGUUUACAUUUGUUUUAUAUCUUUCUCAUUCUGUUCAUAGCAUUUUGUCAUGUUUCUUCCUUUCUACAGAGCUAUUUUGAUGUGUCAAGAAUUUUGGCUAAUUGAUGGCUCAAAUGAUUGCAAGCAUAUGAUCUUGUCGGCUUGAGUGAUUGCAGGCAUAUCGACUACAGGAAAACGUAGCACAGAAGAUUCUUCCUUCCCUUUUUUGUUUUGGUGAAAUUGCAGUCAAGCUACUUACAUACGACUCUUAUCAGGGCAUUCGAGAAUUCUCAAAUUGGGUCUGCUUCUGUUUUAGCCUGAUUUAUGUUUCUACUGUAGGUGUUGCUCUAUGGCAGUACAUACUUUUUGCACUAUUGAAGAGAUAAGAACAGCGUGCUACCUAUUUAUGCUUUUAGUAUGGCUUGAUAGACCGAGGACCUAUUGUGGAACUGAUAUUGUUUUUUAAAUGUUGGAACAAAUGAUGGUUUGAUCUGUGUAUUUCUCAACAGGUGGAGAUCGAAUUUAAUAAUAUUGACAUGCCCCGGUGCUUUUU
rnacentral:lncRNA from 1 species